UACGUAGGGUGCAAGCGUUAAUCGGAAUUACUGGGCGUAAAGCGUGCGCAGGCGGUGAUGCAAGACAGAUGUGAAAUCCCCGGGCUUAACCUGGGAACUGCAUUUGUGACUGCAUUGCUGGAGUGCGGCAGAGGGGGAUGGAAUUCCACGUGUAGCAGUGAAAUGCGUAGAUAUGUGGAGGAAUACCGAUGGCGAAGGCAGCCCCCUGGGAUAACACUGACGCUCAUGCACGAAAGCGUGGGGAGCAAACAGG
rnacentral:rRNA from 1 species